AGAUGGUCCAAGUGCAGGGGUGUUUACAAUUAAUUGAUCACAGCCAGUUACAGAUUUCUUUGUUCCUUUUCUACUCCUGCAGCUUUACUUGACGAGCCAACA
rnacentral:Y_RNA from 1 species